UACGGAGGGUGCAAGCGUUAUCCGGAUUCACUGGGUUUAAAGGGUGCGUAGGUGGGCAGGUAAGUCAGUGGUGAAAUCUCUGGGCUUAACCCGGAAACUGCCGUUGAUACUAUCUGUCUUGAAUGUAGUGGAGGUGAGCGGAAUAUGUCAUGUAGCGGUGAAAUGCUUAGAUAUGACAUAGAACACCCAUUGCGAAGGCAGCUCGCUACACUAUUAUUGGCACUGAGGCACGAAAGCGUGGGGAUCAAACAGG
rnacentral:rRNA from 1 species